GACGUAGGAUGCAAGCGUUGUCCGGAUUUAUUGGGCGUAAAGAGUUCGUAGGCGGUUCGUUAAGUCUGAUGUUAAAUAUCGGGGCUCAACCUCGGGAGUGCAUUGGAUACUGGCGGACUGGAGUGUGGUAGAGGUUAGUGGAAUUCCCAGUGUAGCGGUGAAAUGCGUAGAUAUUGGGAAGAACACCGGUGGCGAAGGCGGCUAUCUGGACGGAUACUGACGCUGAGACGCGAAAGCGUGGGGAGCAAACAGG
rnacentral:rRNA from 1 species